GCAUUGGUGGUUCAAUGGUAGAAUUCUCGCCUGCCACGCGGGAGGCCCGGGUUCGAUUCCUGGCUAAUGCA
rnacentral:tRNA from 1 species